rnacentral:rRNA from 1 species
UACGUAGGGGGCAAGCGUUGUCCGGAAUCAUUGGGCGUAAAGAGCGUGUAGGCGGCUCGGUAAGUCCGCUCUGAAAGCCCGGGGCUCAACCCCGGGAGGCGGGCGGAUACUGUCGAGCUAGAGUCCGGAAGAGGCGAGUGGAAUUCCUGGUGUAGCGGUGAAAUGCGCAGAUAUCAGGAGGAACACCAAUGGCGGAAGGCAGCUCGCUGGGACGGUACUGACGCUGAGACGCGAAAGCGUGGGGAGCAAACAGG